rnacentral:misc_RNA from 1 species
GAUGAAGAACGUAGCGAAAUGCGAUAAGUAAUGCGAAUUGCAGAAUUCAGUGAAUCAUCGAAUCUUUGAACGCACGUUGCGCCCCCUGGUAUUCCGGGGGGCAUGCCUGUCCGAGCGUCAUUACAACCCUCAAGCUCAGCUUGGUGUUGGGCCCCGCCGCCCCGGCGGGCCCUAAAGUCAGUGGCGGUGCCGUCCGGCUCCGAGCGUAGUAAUUCUUCUCGCUCUGGAGGUCCGGUCGUGUGCUCGCCAGCAACCCCCAAUUUUUUUCAGGUUGACCUCGGAUCAGGUAGGGAUACCCGCUGAACUUAAGCAUAUCAAUAAGCGGAGGA